rnacentral:rRNA from 1 species
AUUAAACGCUGGCGGCAUGCCUUACACAUGCAAGUCGAACGGCAGCACGGGGGCAACCCUGGUGGCGAGUGGCGGACGGGUGAGUAAAGCAUCGGAACGUAUCCUGGAGUGGGGGAUAACGUAGCGAAAGUUACGCUAAUACCGCAUAUUCUGUGAGCAGGAAAGCAGGGGAUCGCAAGACCUUGCGCUCUGGGAGCGGCCGAUGUCGGAUUAGCUAGUUGGUGGGGUAAAGGCCUACCAAGGCGACGAUCCGUAGCGGGUCUGAGAGGAUGAUCCGCCACACUGGGACUGAGACACGGCCCAGACUCCUACGGGAGGCAGCAGUGGGGAAUUUUGGACAAUGGGCGCAAGCCUGAUCCAGCCAUGCCGCGUGAGUGAAGAAGGCCUUCGGGUUGUAAAGCUCUUUCGGCGGGGAAGAAAUUGCACGGGUUAAUACCCUGUGUAGAUGACGGUACCCGAAUAAGAAGCACCGGCUAACUACGUG